AUUGAACGCUGGCGGCAGGCCUAACACAUGCAAGUCGAGCGGAGCGGCGGACGGGCGAGUAAUGCACAGGAAUCUGCCUGGGCUUGGGGGAUAACGUCCGGAAACGGGCGCGAAUACCGCAUACGAUCAGCUGAGCCUAGGUCGGAUUAGCGAGUUGGUGGGGUAAAGGCCUACCAAGGCGACGAUCCGUAACCGGUCUGAGAGGAUGAUCAGUCACACUGGAACUGAGACAUGGUCCAGACUCCUACGGGAGGCAGCAGUGGGGAAUCUUGGGCAAUGGGCGCAAGCCUGAUGCAGCCAUGCCGCGUGUAUGAAGAAGGCCUUCGGGUUGUAAAGUACUUUCAGCGGGGAGGCGUUACCCGCAGAGGAAGCCCCGGCUAACUCCGUGCCAGCAGCCGCGGUAAUAC
rnacentral:rRNA from 1 species